rnacentral:misc_RNA from 1 species
CAGAGAACCUCGCCCGCAAGGGUGACUCUCCAACCCUAUGUUUAUAUACUUUUGUUGCUUUGGCGAGCCGCUUCGGCCACCGGCGUACGCUGGUGAGCGCUCGCCAGAGGACCCUAAACUCUGUUUAUUAGUGUCGUCUGAGUACUAUAUAAUAGUUA